rnacentral:rRNA from 1 species
UAGGGAAUCUUCGGCAAUGGGGGGAACCCUGACCGAGCAACGCCGCGUGAGUGAAGAAGGUUUUCGGAUCGUAAAGCUCUGUUGUUAAGGAAGAACGAGUGUGAGAAUGGAAAGUUCAUACUGUGACGGUACUUAACCAGAAAGGGACGGCUAACUACGUGCCAGCAGCCGCGGUAAUACGUAGGUCCCGAGCGUUGUCCGGAUUUAUUGGGCGUAAAGCGAGCGCAGGCGGUUAGAUAAGUCUGAAGUUAAAGGCAGUGGCUCAACCAUUGUAGGCUUUGGAAACUGUUUAACUUGAGUGCAGAAGGGGGGAGUGGAAUUCCAUGUGUAGCGGUGAAAUGCGUAGAUAUAUGGAGGAACACCGGUGGCGAAAGCGGCUCUCUGGUCUGUAACUGACGCUGAGGCUCGAAAGCGUGGGGAGCGAACAGG